rnacentral:rRNA from 1 species
AGUGGGGAAUCUUGCGCAAUGGGCGAAAGCCUGACGCAGCAACGCCGCGUGCGGGAUGAAGGCCUUCGGGUUGUAAACCGCUUUCAGCAGGGAUGAAACUGACAGUACCUGCAGAAGAAGCCCCGGCUAACUACGUGCCAGCAGCCGCGGUAAUACGUAGGGGGCGAGCGUUAUCCGGAUUCAUUGGGUGUAAAGCGCGCGUAGGCGGCUUGCUAAGUCAGAUGUGAAAACCGGGGGCUCAACCCGCGGCCUGCAUCUGAAACUGGCAGGCUUGAGUCUGGUAGAGGAAAGUGGAAUUCCUGGUGUAGCGGUGAUAUGCGCAGAUAUCAGGAGGAACACCAGUGGCGAAGGCGGCUUUCUGGGCCACGACUGACGCUGAGGCGCGAAAGCUAGGGGAGCAAACAGGAUUAGAUACCCUGGUAGUCCUAGCUGUAAACGAUGGGCACUAGGUGUGGGGGGUCAUCGACUCCCUCCGUGCCGCAGCUAACGCAUUAAGUGCCCCGCCUGGGGAGUACGGCCGCAAGGCUA